rnacentral:rRNA from 1 species
CUGUGCACUUAAUGUAGGUCGGCAUGGUUUUGGUAAAACAGAACUGAGCGAGUUACCUCUCUAUGCGGGGGGAGGUCGAGAACCUAUGUAUUUAUAAAAAACGUCUUCGUGUAGAAAGUCUUUGAAUGUUUACGAUCAGAGAGCCGCGACUUCUAGGAGACGCGGGUCUUUGAGAUAAAAGUUAUUACAACUUUCAGCAAUGGAUCUCUUGGCUCUCGCAUCGAUGAAGAACGCAGCGAAAAGCGAUAUGUAAUGUGAAUUGCAGAUCUACAGUGAAUCAUCGAAUCUUUGAACGCACCUUGCGCUCCUUGGUAUUCCGAGGAGCAUGCCUGUUUGAGUGUCAGUAAUUCAUCAACCCCUCUCGAUUAGCUUCGAGAGGGAGUUUGGAUAGUGGGGGUUGCCGGAGUCUUAGGACUCGGGCUCUCCUGAAAUGCAUUGGCUUGCAGUCGACUUUCGACUUUGCGCGAAAAGGCUUUCGGCGUGAUAAUGAUCGCCGUGUGCUGAAGUGCAUGAAUGAAGGUCCUGUGCCUCUAAUAUACGCAUGUGUCGACUGAUCUAUCUUAACUGAGAGGAAUGGUCUUCACUUCAUUUGACAUUUUGACCUCAAAUCAGGUA